rnacentral:rRNA from 1 species
GACGGGCCCCGCACAAGCAGACGGAGCGUGUGGUUUAAUUCGAUGCUAACACGAAGAACCUUUACCAGGGUUUGACAUGCUAGUGGUGGAAACCGAAAGGUGACCGACCCUUCGGGGAGCUAGCACAGGUGCUGCACGGCUGUCGUCAGCUCGUGUCGUGAGAUGUUCGGUUAAGUCCGCUAACGAGCGCAACCCUCGCUGUGUGUUAUAUGUGUCACAUGGGACUGCCGGCCUUAAGCCGGAGGAAGGUGGGGAUGAUGUCAAGUCAGCAUGGCCUUUAUGUCCUGGGCUACACACACGCUACAAUGGUCAGCACAAUGGGUCGCUAAGCCGCAAGGUGGAGCCAAUCCUCAAAGUUGGCCUCAGUUCAGAUUGUAGGCUGCAACUCGCCUGCAUGAAGAUGGAGUUGCUAGUAAACGCAGGUCAGCUAUACUGCGUUGAAUACGUUCCCGGGGCUU